GCCUGAUGCAGAAGCCGAAGGCUUUGUGAAGCUUAGCCAAGCAAGGUGUGUGUGUUGUAGUAGGUAUGGGUGAUGGUAAGAAAUUUCGUGGGCUUGGGGUUUCUAAUCCCAAACGCCUCAUCCAAGGGAAGGUAAAGGCUUCAGAAUAGCAUUUCACUUGUUCAUUAUCACAUCACGUUCAAAGGUCACUUGAGGUCAGGAGAAACUUAGCUGCAUUGAAAAUCGCCUCCGGUGGCGGAGGAGGUGCAAACACGUUCACACCUAUCAUAGUGCUCGCCCAACCUUACCCUUUGAUAAUCCAUCAUUGUUUCUUUAUAACUUGCAAUCACCGAUUAAAACCUAAGCAACGUAACUAUGAACCCUAAGAAAUGAAUUCCAAAAUUUAAUAUUGUAGAGGAGGAAUCAAAGCCUAAAUCGUUAGGGUUUUGAUUCCUCGAGCCUAGUUCUACAUGAUAGCAACACAAUUAACACAAAUUGGUGAAGGAGACAAGGAUCUUACCUAUGAGGCAGAGGAUGGCCCCAGAUUUGUAGAAGUUUGAGAAGAUGAAGAUGAAAAUGGAAGAAGCUUCAGGUAGUACAAACAUAGCAUGGUGAUGCCAAAUGAACAUGACAUGGGGUGCAUUUGGAAGUUUGGAGAUCAUGGAGAUGAUAAUGAUGAAGAUGAUGAAGAUGAAUAAGAGUAGGUCUAGGAUAGUUAGUUGACUUUGAUAAACUAUUUGACCAAAAGUCAACUCUAGGUCAAAGUAACAUUUUUUGUAAAAAAAAUUGUACUUUUGCUUUUGUAAUGGAAAUAACCCAUUGAAUUGUAACAUGUGACUUAUAUUAUAAGAAACACAUUUUCCCUCCAAAAUGAUUUUGAUUUGUAAUUGAAUUAAACUUGAAUA